rnacentral:miRNA from 1 species
CUCCAUACUCUAAGCUGUUAGAAU